AAUAGAUACCCUGGUAGUCCACGCCGUAAACGAUGAGUGCUAAGUGUUAGAGGGUUUCCACCCUUUAGUGCUGCAGCUAACGCAUUAAGCACUCCGCCUGGGGAGUACGGCCGCAAGGCUGAAACUCAAAGGAAUUGACGGGGGCCCGCACAAGCGGUGGAGCAUGUGGUUUAAUUCGAAGCAACGCGAAGAACCUUACCAGGUCUUGACAUCCUCUGACCUCCCUGGAGACAGGGCCUUCCCCUUCGGGGGACAGAGUGACAGGUGGUGCAUGGUUGUCGUCAGCUCGUGUCGUGAGAUGUUGGGUUAAGUCCCGCAACGAGCGCAACCCUUGACCUUAGUUGCCAGCAUUCAGUUGGGCACUCUAAGGUGACUGCUGGUGACAAACCGGAGGAAGGUGGGGAUGACGUCAAAUCAUCAUGCCCCUUAUGACCUGGGCUACACACGUGCUACAAUGGAUGGUACAAAGGGCUGCGAGACCGCGAGGUUAAGCCAAUCCCAGAAAACCAUUCCCAGUUCGGAUUGCAGGCUG
rnacentral:rRNA from 1 species